CCCUCAAUAACUCAGUUCGCAGAGCGGAGGACUGUCGAUGUUUCAACGGUGAUCCUUUGGUUGCUGGUUCAAAUCCAGCUCGAUGGA
rnacentral:tRNA from 1 species